rnacentral:rRNA from 1 species
GACGAACGCUGGCGGCGCGCCUAACACAUGCAAGUCGAACGGAGACAAGAGGUGCUUGCUUCUCUUGACUGAGUGGCGAACGGGUGAGUAACGCGUGAGUAACCUGCACUGGAGUGGGGGACAACAGUUGGAAACGACUGCUAAGACCGCAUAAGCCCACGGAUCCGCAUGGAUCUGCGGGUAAAGGGUUUAUUCGCUUCAGGAGGGACUCGCGUCCUAUUAGCUAGAUGGUGAGGUAACGGCCCACCAAGGCGACGAUUGGUAGCCGGACUGAGAGGGUGCACGGCCACUGUGGGACUGAGACACGGCCCAGACUCCUACGGGAGGCAGCUGUGGGGGAUAUUGCACUAGGGGGGAAACUCUGAUGCAGCGGCGGCGCGUGGAUGAAGGAGGUUUUCGGAGUGUAAUCUCCUGUCGUGAGAAGCGAUAAUGACGGUACCUAGCAAGAAAGCACCGGCUAACUACGUG